rnacentral:rRNA from 1 species
GGUUAAGCGACUAAGCGUACACGGUGGAUGCCCUGGCAGUCAGAGGCGAUGAAGGACGUGCUAAUCUGCGAUAAGCGUCGGUGAGGUGAUAUGAACCGUUAUAACCGGCGAUUUCCGAAUGGGGAAACCCAGUGUGUUUCGACACACUAUCAUUAACUGAAUCCAUAGGUUAAUGAGGCGAACCGGGGGAACUGAAACAUCUAAGUACCCCGAGGAAAAGAAAUCAACCGAGAUUCCCCCAGUAGCGGCGAGCGAACGGGGAGGAGCCCAGAGCCUGAAUCAGUGUGUGUGUUAGUGGAAGCGUCUGGAAAGGCGCGCGAUACAGGGUGACAGCCCCGUACACAAAAAUGCACAUGCUGUGAGCUCGAUGAGUAGGGCGGGACACGUGGUAUCCUGUCUGAAUAUGGGGGGACCAUCCUCCAAGGCUAAAUACUCCUGACUGACCGAUAGUGAACCAGUACCGUGAGGGAAAGGCGAAAAGAACCCCGGCGAGGGGAGUGAAAAAGAACCUGAAACCGUGUACGUACAAGCAGUGGGAGCCUCUUAAUGGGGUGACUGCGUACCUUUUGUAUAAUGGGUCAGCGACUUAUAUUCUGUAGCAAGGUUAACCGAAUAGGGGAGCCGAAGGGAAACCGAGUCUUAACUGGGCGUUAAGUUGCAGGGUAUAGACCCGAAACCCGGUGAUCUAGCCAUGGGCAGGUUGAAGGUUGGGUAACACUAACUGGAGGACCGAACCGACUAAUGUUGAAAAAUUAGCGGAUGACUUGUGGCUGGGGGUGAAAGGCCAAUCAAACCGGGAGAUAGCUGGUUCUCCCCGAAAGCUAUUUAGGUAGCGCCUCGUGAAUUCAUCUCCGGGGGUAGAGCACUGUUUCGGCAAGGGGGUCAUCCCGACUUACCAACCCGAUGCAAACUGCGAAUACCGGAGAAUGUUAUCACGGGAGACACACGGCGGGUGCUAACGUCCGUCGUGAAGAGGGAAACAACCCAGACCGCCAGCUAAGGUCCCAAAGUCAUGGUUAAGUGGGAAACGAUGUGGGAAGGCCCAGACAGCCAGGAUGUUGGCUUAGAAGCAGCCAUCAUUUAAAGAAAGCGUAAUAGCUCACUGGUCGAGUCGGCCUGCGCGGAAGAUGUAACGGGGCUAAACCAUGCACCGAAGCUGCGGCAGCGACACUAUGUGUUGUUGGGUAGGGGAGCGUUCUGUAAGCCUGUGAAGGUGGCCUGUGAGGGUUGCUGGAGGUAUCAGAAGUGCGAAUGCUGACAUAAGUAACGAUAAAGCGGGUGAAAAGCCCGCUCGCCGGAAGACCAAGGGUUCCUGUCCAACGUUAAUCGGGGCAGGGUGAGUCGACCCCUAAGGCGAGGCCGAAAGGCGUAGUCGAUGGGAAACAGGUUAAUAUUCCUGUACUUGGUGUUACUGCGAAGGGGGGACGGAGAAGGCUAUGUUGGCCGGGCGACGGUUGUCCCGGUUUAAGCGUGUAGGCUGGUUUUCCAGGCAAAUCCGGAAAACCAAGGCUGAGGCGUGAUGACGAGGCACUACGGUGCUGAAGCGACAAAUGCCCUGCUUCCAGGAAAAGCCUCUAAGCAUCAGGUAACAUCAAAUCGUACCCCAAACCGACACAGGUGGUCAGGUAGAGAAUACCAAGGCGCUUGAGAGAACUCGGGUGAAGGAACUAGGCAAAAUGGUGCCGUAACUUCGGGAGAAGGCACGCUGAUAUGUAGGUGAAGCGACUUGCUCGUGGAGCUGAAAUCAGUCGAAGAUACCAGCUGGCUGCAACUGUUUAUUAAAAACACAGCACUGUGCAAACACGAAAGUGGACGUAUACGGUGUGACGCCUGCCCGGUGCCGGAAGGUUAAUUGAUGGGGUUAGCGGUAACGCGAAGCUCUUGAUCGAAGCCCCGGUAAACGGCGGCCGUAACUAUAACGGUCCUAAGGUAGCGAAAUUCCUUGUCGGGUAAGUUCCGACCUGCACGAAUGGCGUAAUGAUGGCCAGGCUGUCUCCACCCGAGACUCAGUGAAAUUGAACUCGCUGUGAAGAUGCAGUGUACCCGCGGCAAGACGGAAAGACCCCGUGAACCUUUACUAUAGCUUGACACUGAACAUUGAGCCUUGAUGUGUAGGAUAGGUGGGAGGCUUUGAAGUGUGGACGCCAGUCUGCAUGGAGCCGACCUUGAAAUACCACCCUUUAAUGUUUGAUGUUCUAACGUGGGCCCCUAAUCGGGGUUGCGGACAGUGUCUGGUGGGUAGUUUGACUGGGGCGGUCUCCUCCUAAAGAGUAACGGAGGAGCACGAAGGUUGGCUAAUCCUGGUCGGACAUCAGGAGGUUAGUGCAAUGGCAUAAGCCAGCUUGACUGCGAGCGUGACGGCGCGAGCAGGUGCGAAAGCAGGUCAUAGUGAUCCGGUGGUUCUGAAUGGAAGGGCCAUCGCUCAACGGAUAAAAGGUACUCCGGGGAUAACAGGCUGAUACCGCCCAAGAGUUCAUAUCGACGGCGGUGUUUGGCACCUCGAUGUCGGCUCAUCACAUCCUGGGGCUGAAGUAGGUCCCAAGGGUAUGGCUGUUCGCCAUUUAAAGUGGUACGCGAGCUGGGUUUAGAACGUCGUGAGACAGUUCGGUCCCUAUCUGCCGUGGGCGCUGGAGAACUGAGGGGGGCUGCUCCUAGUACGAGAGGACCGGAGUGGACGCAUCACUGGUGUUCGGGUUGUCAUGCCAAUGGCACUGCCCGGUAGCUAAAUGCGGAAGAGAUAAGUGCUGAAAGCAUCUAAGCACGAAACUUGCCCCGAGAUGAGUUCUCCCUGACCCUUUAAGGGUCCUGAAGGAACGUUGAAGACGACGACGUUGAUAGGCCGGGUGUGUAAGCGCAGCGAUGCGUUGAGCUAACCGGUACUAAUGAACCGUGAGGCUUAACCUUACAACGCCGAAGAUGUUUUG